rnacentral:rRNA from 1 species
CUACGGAAGGCAGCAGUGGGGAAUAUUGCACAAUGGGCGAAAGCCUGAUGCAGCAACGCCGCGUGAGCGAUGAAGGCCUUCGGGUUGUAAAGCUCUGUCUUUGCUGACGAAUAAAUGACGGUAAGCAAGGAGGAAGCCACGGCUAACUACGUGCCAGCAGCCGCGGUAAUACGUAGGUGGCAAGCGUUGUCCGGAAUUACUGGGCGUAAAGAAUGCGUAGGCGGUCUUUUAAGUGGGAUGUGAAAUCCCUGGGCUCAACCCAGGAACUGCAUUCCAAACUGGAAGACUAGAGUGUGGGAGAGGAAAAUGGUAUUCCCAGUGUAGCGGUGAAAUGCGUAGAGAUUGGGAGGAACACCAGUAGCGAAGGCGAUUUUCUGGAACAUAACUGACGCUGAGGCAUGAAAGCGUGGGGAGCAAACAGGAUUAGAUACCCCAGUAGUCC